rnacentral:snoRNA from 1 species
CUGUGAAUAUUUUUGCUGUUCUAAUUUUGUAAUAAUCAGGUCAGGCUAAACAUUUGCUAUAGUAAGGCCAUGCAUGUGUCCCAAGGCCUAGUUCUUUCCCCAGGUCUGGGUUUCUACAUGCUGGUGACAAAC